rnacentral:rRNA from 1 species
CCUACGGGAGGCAGCAGUGGGGAAUAUUGCGCAAUGGGCGAAAGCCUGACGCAGCGACGCCGCGUGAGGGACGAAGGUCUUCGGAUCGUAAACCUCUGUCAGCAAGGAAGAACGGUCAUUGUGCUAAUCAGCAGUGAAUUGACGGUACCUGCAAAGGAAGCACCGGCUAACUCCGUGCCAGCAGCCGCGGUAAUACGGAGGGUGCGAGCGUUAAUCGGAGUUACUGGGCGUAAAGAGCUCGUAGGCGGUAUGUCAAGUCAAGGGUGAAAUCCUAGCGCUCAACGUGAGUACUGCCAGUGAAACUAGAAAACUGGAGUGUGAGAGAGGAUAGUAGAAUUCCAGGUGUAGGAGUGAAAUCCGUAGAUAUCUGGAGGAACAUCAGUGGCGAAGGCGACUAUCUGGCACAUAACUGACGCUGAGGAGCGAAAGCGUGGGUAGCAAACAGGAUUAGAUACCCCAGUAGUC